rnacentral:misc_RNA from 1 species
UUAAGUUCAGCGGGUAUUCCUACCUGAUUUGAGGUCAGAGUUCAGUCGAUUGUCUCGAAAGAGAGACGGUUAGAAGCUCGCCAAACGCUUCACGGUCGCGGCGCAAAAAACUAUCACACCGAGAGCCGAUCCGCAAGGAAUCAAGCUAAUGCAUUUGAGAGGAGCCGACGCAAGCCGACAAAACCUCCAAGUCCAAUCCU